rnacentral:rRNA from 1 species
CAUGUCCUUUUGAUAAUAAUUUAAGGUCUGGCCUGCUCAAUGAAUUUUAAAUAGCCGCAGUAUUUUGACUGUGCAAAGGUAGCAUAAUAAUUAGUUUCUUAAUUAGAAGCUGGAAUGAAUGGUUUGACAAGAAAAUUACUGUCUCUCUUCUAAUUUUGUUGAAUUUUAUUUUUAAGUGAAAAAGCUUAAAUUUUUAUAAAAGACGAGAAGACCCUAUAGAGUUUAAUAAUUUUUUAUAUUUAUUAUUUAGGAUUCUUUUUUUAUAUAAAAAAUAUAUUUGGUUGGGGUGACUGGGAGAUUUAGAAAAUUCUCUUAAGAUUUGAAUUGAUGAUUUUCAAUUUGUUAAUCUAUAGUUUGUAAAACUAAAAUAAAUUACCUUAGGGAUAACAGCGUAAUUUUUCUUAAAAGUUCUUAUUAUAAGGAAAGUUUGCGACCUCGAUGUUGGAUUAAAAUAAAUUUUUGGUGCAAUAACUAAAAAAUUAGGUCUGUUCGACCUUUAAAAUUUUACAUGAUCUGAGUUUAAACCGGUGUGAGCCAGGUUGGAUUCUAUCUUUAGAAAAUUAUUAUAUUUUAGUACGAAAGGACCAAAUAUAAGUUAAAUUAAUUGU